AUGGUUAAUACCCCUUCUUGAUUGACGUUACCCACAGAAGAAGCACCGGCUAACUCCGUGCCAGCAGCCGCGGUAAUACGGAGGGUGCGAGCGUUAAUCGGAAUUACUGGGCGUAAAGCGCGCGUAGGCGGCGAAUUAAGUCGGAUGUGAAAUCCCCGGGCUCAACCUGGGCACUGCAUACGAUACUGGUUUGCUAGAGUCUUGCAGAGGGGUGUGGAAUUUCCGGUGUAGCGGCGAAAUGCGUAGAGAUCGGAAGGAACAUCAGUGGCGAAGGCGACACCCUGGGCAAAGACUGACGCUGAGGUGCGAAAGCGUGGGUAGCAAACAGGAUUAGAUACCCUGGUAGUCCACGCGGUAAACGAUGUCUAUUAGCCGUCCGUUUCGUUUUAGAGAUGGGUGGCGCAGCUAACGCGAUAAAUAGACCGCCUGGGGAGUACGGUCGCAAGAUUAAAACUCAAAUGAAUUGACGGGGGCCCGCACAAGCGGUGGAGCAUGUGGUUUAAUUCGAAGCAACGCGAAGAACCUUACCUACUCUUGACAUCCAGCGAAGACGGAAGAGAUUCUGUUGUGCCUUCGGGAACGCUGAGACAGGUGCUGCAUGGCUGUCGUCAGCUCGUGUUGUGAAAUGUUGGGUUAAGUCCCGUAACGAGCGCAACCCUUAUCCUUAGUUGCCAGCAUGUAAUGGUGGGGACUCUAAGGAAACUGCCGGUGACAAACCGGAGGAAGGUGGGGACGACGUCAAGUCAUCAUGGCCCUUACGAGUAGGGCUACACACGUGCUACAAUGGCCGGUACAGACGGUAGCGAAGCGGUGACGUGGAGCCAAUCCGAGAAAGCCGGUCGUAGUCCGGAUCGCAGUCUGCAACUCGACUGCGUGAAGUCGGAAUCGCUAGUAAUCGUGGAUCAGAAUGCCACGGUGAAUACGUUCCCGGGCCUUGUACACACCGCCCGUCACACCAUGGGAGUUGAUUUCACCAGAAGUAGGUAGCUUAACCGCAAGGGGGGCGCUUACCACGGUGGGGUCAAUGACUGGGGUG
rnacentral:rRNA from 1 species